UACGAAGGGGGCUAGCGUUGUUCGGAAUUACUGGGCGUAAAGCGUAUGCAGGCGGAUCGUUAAGUCGGGGGUGAAAUCCCGAGGCUCAACCUCGGAACUGCCUUCGAUACUGGCGAUCUUCGAGUCCGGGAGAGGUGAGUGGAACUCCGAGUGUAGAGGUGAAAAUUCGUAGAUAUUCGGAAGAACACCAGUGGCGAAGGCGGCUCACUGGCCCGGUACUGACGCUGAGAUACGAAAGCGUGGGGAGCAA
rnacentral:rRNA from 1 species